GAGAACCCAACUGGACUGCACUACACCUCUCCAGGACCCUAUAACCAAUCCCUUUACUUCCCUCACCCUUUCUCUCCUCCAAAAUUUAAUAAAUCUGCACUGGAUAUGCCAUCUGGUUUAAAUGCAAGCCAGUUCCCAUCGGUAGUGGAGAAGCAGCCCGAGACUCCUCACCUGGCGGCAAACAGGGAACAUAAACAAUGCCUUCGAGAUGCCAGCUUCUCCAAAGGGCAGAGGCAGGUUGCGCCAAUGUGUCUCUUGUUAGUUCUUUCCCUGGGUCUACAGAAAACAAAUGUAUCUUGGAAUGGGCAGCAUUCAAUUGAACGUCGGGUUUCUCUCUGUUUUCUGGUCGAGUGGGAACACAGAGGCUCCCCAUGGAGGAAAAUAAACAGCGAUGUACUUUUGGCAUCUGUUGGCAGUA